ensembl:snoRNA
AUGCUCUUAUGAUUCAUAAGCAUGACGAUUAGGUUUUUACAUCAUCCUUGAGAUGUGUAUUCCUCAAACCUUAUUACAGCACUGGCACAUUACCUAUCUGAUG